GGUUAAAGAAAAGGUAAAAAUGUUGUCGACCGUUUUACCUUAAUUUUUGAACC
rnacentral:snoRNA from 1 species